rnacentral:lncRNA from 1 species
UUUUUUUUUUUUUUUUUUAGAAAUUUGCCUAACCUGUUUAAAAAAAAAAACAAAGAUGGAGAUACAUGAUUGGCAGAGAUUUUAGACAUAAAAAUGACAUUAAAUUUUUGGAAUUGAGUAAUAUACAUAAUUUCUUCUGUAUUAUGGAAAGAUUUUCUGCAUACAUUGUUGGACAUAGGCCUGACUCCACAUAAAAAUUUGCAAGCAGUUAAGAUAACUUUUGUUAAUAUUUGUUAUAUGUAAAUCUAUAUUAUAUAUGUAUAAAUCUAUAACACACACACAUAUAUAUUUACAUGUGUAUAUAUAUGUGUGUAUAUAUAUAUUUAUAUAUGUGUAUAUAUAUACAUAUAUAUAUAGAGAGAGAGAGAGAGGAGAGAUCCUGCUCUAUAUGUGACAUUAACAUUGUACUUAGUGCAAAGGUGUUCUUUCAACUUUUUUCACCUUUUACCUUAGUCCCUUCCUUUAUUAUAAGGCUUUAUGCCAUAUUUCCCCAUUAUAAGGCAGACCCUACUGCUCUCAGGACUACCCUGCCAAGGCAGAAUAAACUGGAUCUUGUCAACAAAAAGGGAAUGGGGAGGGCAAUUGACUAGUUCCAUUGUUAAGAUACCCGAGAUCCCAGAUCACAUUAUAAAUUCCCAUAGCGCACUGUUUCUGGGAACUUCAUAUUCCUUUCCGGAUAGUUUUAAACCUGAAGACCACAGUAUGCCUCUUGGUAUGGUUGGUUUGUUGCCAGUGUCAUUGUAGUUCCAUCAAGCAAGAUUAUCUUUGUUUUGUUGUAAAUCUUCUGGUGUUAUAGUCCUCUUAUUCAGUAAUGAUGGGUUCCUCAGGAGAGUCUAAUUUCUUUUAUUCUUCAUAUUUAAUCCUUUUAAAUACUUUCUAUUUUCUAGUUUCAGACUAUGCUUUAAGUAAAAUUACAUCUCUCACCUGAACUAGUCUUCUGAUUUCACUGAAAACACCUCACACUAAACACCGUAUGUAUCAACUGAGCAUAAUGGCAUACACCUGUGGUCUCAGCUAUUUUAGAGGCUGAGGAGUACGUGUGCAAGUAUUCAAGACCAACUGACCUAGAUAAACAUAACAAGAUACAAUCUUAGUUGAAAUUUUUUUUUCAUACAAUAUACUUUUCAUACAACACUUUCUCCUCCCAGAUCCUCUUCAUUCACUCAGCUCCGGAGCCUUUCUUUCUCUGUUUAAGAAACACAAAAACUCAAGAAACUCACAAACACACAC